UACGGAGGGGGCAAGCGUUGUCCGGACUUACUGGGCGUAAAGGGUGCGUAGGCGGUUGCAUGCGUCGGCGCUGAAAUCCGUGGGCUCAACCCACGGGCGCGUGCCGAUACGAUGCGACUCAAGGCUCGGAGAGGGUGGUAGAACUCCUGGUGUAGUGGUGAAAUGCGUAGAGAUCAGGAAGAAUACCCGUGGCGCAAGCGACCACCUGGCCGAGACCUGACGCUAAGGCACGAAAGCGUGGGGAGCGAACCGG
rnacentral:rRNA from 1 species